rnacentral:rRNA from 1 species
GAUGAACGCUGGCGGCGUGCCUAAUACAUGCAAGUCGAGCGAACGGACGAGAAGCUUGCUUUUCUGAUGUUAGCGGCGGACGGGUGAGUAACACGUGGAUAACCUACCUAUAAGACUGGGAUAACUUCGGGAAACCGGAGCUAAUACCGGAUAAUAUUUUGAACCGCAUGGUUCAAAAGUGAAAGACGGUCUUGCUGUCACUUAUAGAUGGAUCCGCGCUGCAUUAGCUAGUUGGUAAGGUAACGGCUUACCAAGGCAACGAUGCAUAGCCGACCUGAGAGGGUGAUCGGCCACACUGGAACUGAGACACGGUCCAGACUCCUACGGGAGGCAGCAGUAGGGAAUCUUCCGCAAUGGGCGAAAGCCUGACGGUGCAACGCCGCGUGAGUGAUGAAGGUCUUCGGAUCGUAAAACUCUGUUAUUAGGGAAGAACAUAUGUGUAAGUAACUGUGCACAUCUUGACGGUACCUAAUCAGAAAGCCACGGCUAACUACGUG